rnacentral:rRNA from 1 species
GUGGGUAGUUUGACUGGGGCGGUCUCCUCCCAAAGAGUAACGGAGGAGCACGAAGGUUGGCUAAUCCUGGUCGGACAUCAGGAGGUUAGUGCAAUGGCAUAAGCCAGCUUGACUGCGAGCGUGACGGCGCGAGCAGGUGCGAAAGCAGGUCAUAGUGAUCCGGUGGUUCUGAAUGGAAGGGCCAUCGCUCAACGGAUAAAAGGUACUCCGGGGAUAACAGGCUGAUACCGCCCAAGAGUUCAUAUCGACGGCGGUGUUUGGCACCUCGAUGUCGGCUCAUCACAUCCUGGGGCUGAAGUAGGUCCCAAGGGUAUGGCUGUUCGCCAUUUAAAGUGGUACGCGAGCUGGGUUUAGAACGUCGUGAGACAGUUCGGUCCCUAUCUGCCGUGGGCGCUGGAGAAUUGAGGGGGGCUGCUCCUAGUACGAGAGGACCGGAGUGGACGCAUCACUGGUGUUCGGGUUGUCAUGCCAAUGGCACUGCCCGGUAGCUAAAUGCGGAAGAGAUAAGUGCUGAAAGCAUCUAAGCACGAAACUUGCCCCGAGAUGAGUUCUCCCUGAGACUUUAAGUCUCCUGAAGGAACGUUGAAGACGACGACG